GAACGCUGGCGGCGUGCCUAAUACAUGCAAGUCGAGCGAACAGACGAGGAGCUUGCUCCUUCGACGUUAGCGGCGGACGGGGGAGUAACACGUAGGUAACCUACCUAUAAGACUGGGAUAACUUCGGGAAACCGGAGCUAAUACCGGAUAAUAUUUCGAACCGCAUGGUUCGAUAGUGAAAGAUGGCUUUGCUAUCACUUAUAGAUGGACCUGCGCCGUAUUAGCUAGUUGGUAAGGUAACGGCUUACCAAGGCAACGAUACGUAGCCGACCUGAGAGGGUGAUCGGCCACACUGGAACUGAGACACGGUCCAGACUCCUACGGGAGGCAGCAGUAGGGAAUCUUCCGCAAUGGGCGAAAGCCUGACGGAGCAACGCCGCGUGAGUGAUGAAGGUCUUCGGAUCGUAAAACUCUGUUAUUAGGGAAGAACAAACGUGUAAGUAACUGUGCACGUCUUGACGGUACCUAAUCAGAAAGCCACGGCUAACUACGUGCCAGCAGCCGCGGUAAUACGUAGGUGGCAAGCGUUAUCCGGAAUUAUUGGGCGUAAAGCGCGCGUAGGCGGUUUUUUAAGUCUGAUGUGAAAGCCCACGGCUCAACCGUGGAGGGUCAUUGGAAACUGGAAAACUUGAGUGCAGAAGAGGAAAGUGGAAUUCCAUGUGUAGCGGUGAAAUGCGCAGAGAUAUGGAGGAACACCAGUGGCGAA
rnacentral:rRNA from 1 species